rnacentral:rRNA from 1 species
UACAGAGGGUGCGAGCGUUAAUCGGAAUUACUGGGCGUAAAGCGUGCGUAGACGGUAACGUAAGUCAGAUGUGAAAGCCCCGGGCUCAACCUGGGAAUUGCGUUGGAGACUGCAAGGCUGGAGUCUGGCAGAGGGGGGUAGAAUUCCACGUGUAGCAGUGAAAUGCGUAGAGAUGUGGAGGAACACCGAUGGCGAAGGCAGCCCCCUGGGUCAAGACUGACGCUCAUGCACGAAAGCGUGGGGAGCAAACAGG